UACGGAGGGUGCAAGCGUUAUCCGGAUUCACUGGGUUUAAAGGGUGCGUAGGUGGGCAGGUAAGUCAGUGGUGAAAUCUCCGGGCUUAACCCGGAAACUGCCAUUGAUACUAUCUGUCUUGAAUACCGUGGAGGUGAGCGGAAUAUGUCAUGUAGCGGUGAAAUGCUUAGAUAUGACAUUGAACACCAAUUGCGAAGGCAGCUCACUACACGAAUAUUGACACUGAGGCACGAAAGCGUGGGGAUCAAACAGG
rnacentral:rRNA from 1 species